CUCCCCAGCUUCCCACUGUCUCACCCUUGUUACUGAUCCUCCAACAUGGCGCGUGGGUCUACUUCCGGAGCACACCAUUACUCCCAACAUCAAGGCAGCAAUGAAUGCAGAGCACUGGAAGAUGUCCCUAAGGACCCCACUGGGACAUAGGAAUAAUCAAGAUGGCACUUCAUUUGAGCAUAGUGACCAUAGGCCAGAGUAGAUGAAAAAUAAAGAGACAGAAGAGGGAAAAAUACGAGAAAGC